GAUGAAGAACGUAGCGAAAUGCGAUAAGUAGUGUGAAUUGCAGAAGUACCGUGAAUCAUCGAAUCUUUGAACGCAAAUUGCACUCUCUGGUAUUCCGGGGAGUAUGCCUGUUUGAGGGUCGCUUAACAAACCAUCGAUUUCGUUGCUUUUUUUUUUUAAAGUGAUGUUUAUCGGAUUUGAGCCGUCUUUUUUUUUAUAUUUAAGUGGCUUAAAAUUGAUUUUUUUGGUACGAUCGAAGCGUAUUUUUAUAAUCAAUUUUUGGUUAAAGAAACGCACACGUACCGUUAUUUAUAUGAUGUAAUACGUUUGACUAUUGGAUUUAGUUCAUUCGUAUACGAUAUCUUUCAAUAUUUGACCUCAAAUCAGGUAAGAACACCCGCUGAACUUAAGCAUAUCAAUAAGCGGAGGA
rnacentral:misc_RNA from 1 species